AUUAUGCUACCACCUAGACGCCUGCUAGACACAUUAUACAUCGUUAUAAGGCAUUGGCCUACAAUAACAAAUAAGGCAUAGAACACAUGAUCUGCGACACAACUGAUUCAUCAGUCGACGAGCUAUGUCGGAAUCACUCGUGAUACGAUCGAGGGUCGAUAAAAUUGUCAAUCUGCGCGGGACAGAUGCAAUCGUUGCAAUAAAGUGUCAUGUGAGAGAUGACAUUUUUAAUCAUGAUUUAAGGAACUAUUUAUGGAAUGGUUAGCUCCAUAAUAAAAAAAAUCUGAGAAAAGCGGAUAAAUGAAGGAUUGCACGGUUUAACUAUACAAUGUUAACUAUACAAAGUGCUAUUGCUAACGUUGGACUUGUUGCAGAUAUGCAAAAAGACAAUUUGUGCAUUGGAGCUAUUGUUAAAAUUGAAUAAACAGAGCACAUGGAAGGGAAAAUUAGAUAUAUGUUCUGCUUAAUUUCCAAAAGAAGUGAACAAUGUAAUCACUAAUAGUGUCAUGGAUGUCUUAAAUCACCUAUAAUUAUUAUUUAAAUCCCUACUUGGAUCUAUCACUUCUCCUGAUCAAGAACGUUACAAUUUGCAAUUUACAAUUUACAAUUUACAAUUUGAGUUUCAGAUGCGCACGUACCAAGAUUCUCGACUAUCUAGGAUCAGUUUGGAGCCGAGCUCCGAGAGAUAGCUGGUUGUCGAUGCCAGCAGUGGAUUUUCUAGAUAAAAAAAUCGUCUCCACCUUAUCCUGAAAUAUAUAAAUCGCUUGCUGUGCACUUUGGAGGCAUAUCAAUAUUUUCUCGUCGACCAUCUUUAGUUGAUGAACGUACCUCGAUCGCCAAGUAGAAGUUAUUUAUAACAUGAGCUAACGUAAGUUUCAUGGGGUGACUUAUCUUGUGCAUGAACGUGAUGAGGAGAGCAGAUUUUACUCUGUCGUUGCAUGCGGUGCACUAUCUUUAUCGAUGUCUUUUCGGUCACGUUCCGUUAUCAUUUUAAUUCGAUGUCAAUUCAAUUUAAUUUUUAAAUAUUUCAAACCCUAAAUAAAUCAAUAAUCUAGCAGAUAGUCUGUAUU